rnacentral:hammerhead_ribozyme from 1 species
CCACUGCUGACGAGUCCAAAACAGGACGAAACAGCUUUCCAGUGC